CGGGCCUUCUCACUUUGUGGCAACUAGUGAAGACCCCACGGAAGGGCCUAUGCGAACGGAAGAAGGAAUGGGGAUGAUCUACUGCCGGAAGACUGAGCCCUGUUUGGUGUGUGUUGGUCUGCCAUUGUUCAUGAUGCUGGAGCCUUGCAGGACAGAGGGAGUCUGGACAUUUUCCUUUUCAUGCAUUCAUUAAAGGUGACAUAAACAUAACAUUCUGAGUAUUGUGUGUGCCCCAUCAGUAGGGAGCCUUAUAUUGAGAGUAYAUCUAUUGAAAUGUCUUCAAAGGGAUAUUUUACCCAAAUUACACAUUGGGUUCCUUACCCUGUAAGCAGUCUAUGGACAAGGUAUGACUGCAAUCCAUGCAUUGGUUUAGUUUCCUUGGCACUGUUUCCACAUGCUAAUAUUUUAUCAUUUGUAGCACAAAACCCAUUCAAUUCACUGAUUAUUUGAACAUGAUGUGUGAUAAAUGUUUAUCAGUCCUAUGUCAUUGUAUUUGUGUCACAAAUGCUAAAACGUUGGCAUGUGGGAACAGUGCCAGGAAAACAACUAAGAUAAAGUAUAGAUUGCUGUCAUACCUUGUCCAUAGGUUGUAAGGAAACCAAUAAAUAAUUUCAUAAUUUGGGUUAA